GGAGAGAUGGCUCUGUGGUUAGGAGCACUGGCUACUUUUUCAAAGGGCUUGGGUUUGAGUCCCAGUAUCUCUC
rnacentral:tRNA from 1 species